AGUGAACGCUGGCGGUAUGCCUAACACAUGCAAGUCGAACGGCAGCACAGUAAGAGCUUGCUCUUACGGGUGGCGAGUGGCGGACGGGUGAGGAAUACAUCGGAAUCUACUUUUUCGUGGGGGAUAACGUAGGGAAACUUACGCUAAUACCGCAUACGACCUACGGGUGAAAGCAGGGGAUCUUCGGACCUUUCGCGAUUGUAUGAGCCGAUGUCGGAUUAGCUAGUUGGCGGGGUAAAGGCCCACCAAGGCGACGAUCCGUAGCUGGUCUGAGAGGAUGAUCAGCCACACUGGAACUGAGACACGGUCCAGACUCCUACGGGAGGCAGCAGUGGGGAAUAUUGGACAAUGGGCGAAAGCCUGAUCCAGCCAUACCGCGUGGGUGAAGAAGGCCUUCGGGUUGUAAAGCCCUUUUGUUGGGAAAGAAAAGCAGCAGGUUAAUACCCCGCUGUUCUGACGGUACCCAAAGAAUAAGCACCGGCUAACUUCGUG
rnacentral:rRNA from 1 species